rnacentral:rRNA from 1 species
UACGAAGGGGGCUAGCGUUGUUCGGAAUUACUGGGCGUAAAGCGCACGUAGGCGGAUCGUUAAGUCGGGGGUGAAAUCCUGGAGCUCAACUCCAGAACUGCCUUCGAUACUGGCGAUCUUGAGUCCGGAAGAGGUGAGUGGAACUCCUAGUGUAGAGGUGGAAUUCGUAGAUAUUAGGAAGAACACCAGUGGCGAAGGCGGCUCACUGGUCCGGUACUGACGCUGAGGUGCGAAAGCGUGGGGAGCAAGCAGGG